rnacentral:rRNA from 1 species
CCUACGGGAGGCAGCAGUAAGGAAUAUUGCGCAAUGGGCGAAAGCCUGACGCAGCGACGCCGCGUGGGGGAUGAAGGUCUUCGGAUUGUAAACCCCUUUCGGGAGGGAAGAUGGGAUGGGGUAACCCAUUCGGACGGUACCUCCAGAAGCAGCCACGGCUAACUUCGUGCCAGCAGCCGCGGUAAU